rnacentral:rRNA from 1 species
AGCCGCUCAGAAACUUAAAGGAAUUGACGGGGCCCGCACAAGCGGUGGAGUAUGUGGUUUAAUUCGAUGCAACGCGAAGAACCUUACCUGGUCUUGACAUCCCGGAGACCCUUAGGAAACUAGGGGGUGCUUCCAUCUGGAAGAAUCUGGAGACAGGUGCUGCAUGGCUGUCGUCAGCUCGUGUCGUGAGAUGUUGGGUUAAGUCCCGCAACGAGCGCAACCCUUGCCUUUAGUUGCCAGCAGUUCGGCUGGGCACUCUAAAGGGACUGCCGGUGUUAAACCGGAGGAAGGUGGGGAUGACGUCAAGUCCUCAUGGCCUUUAUGACCAGGGCUACACACGUACUACAAUGGCCGAUACAAAGGGCAGCGACACUGCGAGGUGAAGCCAAUCCCGUAAAAUCGGUCUCAGUCCGGAUUGGAGUCUGCAACUCGACUCCAUGAAGUUGGAAUCGCUAGUAAUCGUGGAUCAGCAUGCCACGGUGAAUACGUUCCCGGGCCUU